rnacentral:rRNA from 1 species
CCCAGUUCAGGGAGGUAGUGACAAUAAAUACCUUACAGAGGUCUCGUUAACCGAGAUCUCUCAAACGGAAUGAGUACAACGUGAAUCCUUUAACGAGGAUCGACUGGAGGGCAAGCCUGGUGCCAGCAGCCGCGGUAAUUCCAGCUCCAGUAGCGUACAUUAAAGCUGUUGCGGUUAAAAAGCUCGUAGUUGGAUAUCAGUGCGUGUCCGGUCCGGUAUGCCUGGCGGCGUCGCUCGCGCGGCACUGCUGGGCUCCCAAAUAUCGGCUGGCCGCAUUUAAUCGUGCCGGACCCGUCGGCGGGCCGUUCUUCGGAGGGGCCUGCUGGCGGCCGGCGACGUUACCUUGAACAAAUUAGAGUGCUCAAAGCAGGCUCUGUAUGCCUGUAUACAUAUUCAUGGAAUUGGAGAAUACGUCCCUGGCUCGAUUUGGUUGGUUUUGAGAGUCGAAGGGAAAUGAUUAAUAGGGACUGACGGAGGCAUUCGUAUUGCGACGCGAGGGGUGAAAUCCUGUGACCGUCGCACGACGAACUACUGCGAAAGCAUUUGCCGAGAAUGUUUUCAUUAGUCAAGAACGAAAGUUAGAGGUUCGAAGGCGAUCAGAUACCGCCCUAGUUCUAACCGUAAACGAUGUCGACCAGCAAUCCGCAACGGUCACUACACGGACUGUGCGGGCAGCUUCCCCGGGGAAACCAGAGUUUUUGGACUCCGGGGGAAGUAUGGUUGCAAAGCUGAAACUUAAAGGAAUUGACGGAAGGGCACCACCAGGAGUGGAGCUUGCGGCUUAAUUUGACUCAACACGGGACAACUCACCAGGCCCGGACACCGUAAGGAUUGACAGACUGAUAGCUCUCUCUUGAUUCAGUGGGUGGUGGUGCAUGGCCGUUCUUAGUUGGUGGAGUGAUUUGUCUGGUUUAUUCCGAUAACGAACGAGACUCUGGCCUAUUAAACUUGACACUGUCAGUCUCUUGUGACUGCGGUGCGCUUCUUAGAGGGAUCAUCGGCGUCCCAGCCGAAGGAAAGGGAGCAAUAACAGGUCUGUGAUGCCCUUAGAUGUUCUGGGCUGCACGCGUGUUACACUGAAGUGGUCAGCGCGCCGUUCAACACCCCUCUCCGUGAGGAGCUUGGGCAAACGUUUGAACCCUUUUCGUGAUGGGAAUUGGGGGUUGCAAUUG